CCCCAACAGAGUUGCCACGGACAUUUAACUUAUUUCUGCGCCCUUUUUCCCCCUCUACAAAAUACAGCCUGGCUAAAUGCUUUGAGACUUCAGCAAGGAAAGGGUUAAGAACAUUUUCUAUGCUAUAGCUGUCAUGCGCUUGGACAGUUAACAGCCGUGUGCCGAGUCUGUUGGCAGUUGGGCGGCGGCCAUCUUAGGAGGAUGAGCAGAGUGGAACAGGACCUAGGAGCAGAAGGUGCUGAGCUGAUUUGGUGGUGUACAUGGUGACCAAAGGAGACUCCUUACCUGAUCUUCAAUAAAUCAGAGUCCAGCAGCUGACAAAGAGAGUGUCUAUGGAGUGCUGAGCUGAUUUGGUGGUGUACAUGGUGACCAAAGGAGACUCCUUACCUGAUCUUCAAUAAAUCAGAGUCCAGCAGCUGACAAAGAGAGUGUCUAUGGAGUGGUGAGCAGACUACGUCAGCCCUGAGGCAAAAUAGCCACUUCUAGUGAGAUCCAGGAGCCCCAUUGUAUGUAGAUUAUACAUUCUCACACUCUA